rnacentral:rRNA from 1 species
AGGCGGUUUUCUAAGUCUGAUGUGAAAGCCUUCGGCUUAACCGGAGAAGUGCAUCGGAAACUGGAUAACUUGAGUGCAGAAGAGGGUAGUGGAACUCCAUGUGUAGCGGUGGAAUGCGUAGAUAUAUGGAAGAACACCAGUGGCGAAGGCGGCUACCUGGUCUGCAACUGACGCUGAGACUCGAAAGCAUGGGUAGCGAACAGGAUUAGAUACCCUGGUAG